rnacentral:lncRNA from 1 species
GCUGUCAGAUAACUGCGAGUACUCUCAGAUCUGUUCAUUGUGUUUUUUUAUGUCGGGAUGUAUAAGUACCCGGCCACGUCCACUUGUAUUUUUGUCCAUCUGAUGAGUUAAGCCCUUUUCAACUGAUUUUUAUAGUUCGUUCUUAUGUUGUACUGUUAUACCACUGUCCCAGGUUAGGGGAGGGUUGGGAUCCCGCUAACAUGUUUAACCCCGCCACAUUAUUUAUGUAUGUGCCUGUCCC